rnacentral:lncRNA from 1 species
ACAUCUGAAUCAUCUUCUGCCAUUAAGAGUUCUGUGAUUUUCAGGCCCUGAUUUACUCACUGGGUAAAUGAAAACCUAUAAGAAAGUCAGUUCCCCAUCUGUGUGGGGAAGCAUGGUCUCUGUGGCCACAUUCUGGUGUGCUCUAUGGAAGGAAGAAUACUGAAACUGCUAGGAGGAGACAUGUAAGAAGAACACAUCCUUUUAUGGCAUUCAAGAAAUCCCUUUACAUAUAUCCUCAUCAGCACUUACAUCUUGACGUGAUUAAUCCUGUGACAGAUGAAUGAUUGGAAAAUAAUUUCCCCUACUCUGACAGCAUGAAUAUGACUUCAAUUACAGCCUACUGAAGAACAAACUCUAAGGAAUCUGCACUGUUCACAAUGUCACCAUUGUCUUCCUGCUG